rnacentral:rRNA from 1 species
CCGUGAGGUUGGGUUAAGUCCCGCAACGAGCGCAACCCUAUUGUUAGUUGCCAUCACAUAAUGGUGGGCACUCUAAUGAGACUGCCCGGGUCAACCGGGAGGAAGGUGGGGACGACGUCAAGUCAUCAUGGCCCUUACGCCUACGGCUACACACGUGCUACAAUGGUGCAUAUAAAGGGUUGCGAAACCGCGAGGUCAAGCCAUUCCCAAAAAAUGCAUCCCAGUCCGGAUCGGAGUCUGGAACUCGACUCCGUGAAGUUGGAAUCGCUAGUAAUCCCGGAUCAGCAUGCCGGGGUGAAUACGUUCCCGGGCCUUGUACACACCGCCCGUCACACCACUAAAGCUGGUUCUACCCGACAACGGCGGACUAACCCUUCGGGAGGUAGUCGUCUACGGUAGGGCUGGUGAUUGGGGUGAAUUCGUAAGAAGGUACUCAACGGUAUGGCUGGUGAUUGGGGUGAAGUCGUAACAAGGUAC